GUAGGGAAUCUUCCACAAUGGGCGCAAGCCUGAUGGAGCAACACUGCGUGAGUGAAGAAGGGUUUCGGCUCGUAAAGCUCUGUUGUUAAAGAAGAACACGUAUGAGAGUAACUGUUCAUACGUUGACGGUAUUUAACCAGAAGUCACGGCUAACUACGUGCCACCAG
rnacentral:rRNA from 1 species